CUGAAUUGUCAACAAGAGUUGUUGCUGGUCCUCAAACGGGGGCAUGUGCACGCUCUGUUCACACAUCCACUCACACCCUGUGCACCUUCUGUAGUUCUAUGGUCUGGGGGCCUGUCCCCCUGCUGUGGUUCUGCAUCUUUACAAAUACACACUGUAAUAAAGUCUCAUGGAAUGCAUGUCGCGUUUAACGCAAUACAAUA
rnacentral:misc_RNA from 1 species